AGGGGCAGUGGUUGUUAUCCUUGUGGUGGCCGUUGUAUGUUUCAGGAGGCACAGCGAGACGGUCUGUUGUGGAAGGUGUUGUGGAAAAUCCCUCUUGUCAGUCCCUCUUCCUUCAGCUGACCGUCAUCACCACCGGUGACCGAGAACCUCCCUCGGACACAUCGUGUGUUUAGGGGCAACUCUGUACGGCUUCCUGCUAUACACAGGGACAAACGCAGAUAGUGAGUGAGAGUCUGGCCUCAUGUGGACGUAGAGGCGGAAUAGCAUUGGUGGACAGGACAGGGUAGGGGGAGGAUGUGUGAAUUGUGCAACAGGCAGAUAGCAGAAAUGCUGAUGGCUCAAGAGCCUUGCGCAAAACCGUCGCAGA
ensembl:lncRNA